AGACAGGACAGCGUGCAUUCACUAAUGUGGGAUUUGUGGAGCACUGAACGCCGAAUUGCGAAGUUCAGGCUAAAACAGCCAUCCCAGGGCAGUAAUGUAAACACAGCCUUUGCCCUGAAACGGCAAUGUUUACAUUAACAUACCUACAAGGACAGGCAGUAGACACCAAAACAACUACAUUAAGCUGUUAUUGUUUUUGUUGAC